rnacentral:piRNA from 1 species
UAUUAAGUUGGCCAGCAUAGGAAAAGGA